CGGGCGGACACCGGAGAGGGGGAGCCGCGGGGACGCAGCGGCAGAUUCGGGGUGCUGGCAGCCGCAGCCCACGCCUCCCAGGGAUUGCAGGCCUGGGCGCCGGGGUUGGACCAGUGUCCCGGGCAUGGCAAGCCCUGGUUUGGUCUGUACCCAUGGUUUGUGGCGGGGCAAGACCUUAAGUUGGGUGACACCGAGGUGAGCCACGGUCCUCGGCACCAGAUGAGGAACCACUGUCUCAAUAAGGUCUCAGUGCUGUGUGUGUAAUGGUUACUGUGAGAGCUUCCCUGCAAUCCGAAUUUGUGUGUCUCAUUCUCAGUGACACCAGUGAUGCUGUUAAACAAGGACAAUCCGGUUCAUGGAUUGUGACAACGCCCACUGACAUUAAGCGGACCCUGCCGUCAGGUACAGAGGGCACCACAGUGACCAGGAACUGCUGUCCUUUCAUACCAGGUUUUAGGAGGCUUUACCAGAAGGAAUGGAAAAUGCUGGUGGGCAGUAAGAUUGAAACAGCAUUUGAGGACUGGUUCUGCACAAAACCUUAAAUUCUUCAAGGACUUUGACAUUUGCUUAUUCUUGUAACAAAUUAAAACCUAUCCUGUGUGUUGGUUAGAGAUCUUCAAACUGUAAAUACCUUGAGGCAGGAGUGAGGUUUUUAUCUUUUAAAGGACAGGCCCCUACUCUCCUACGUAAUGAGUUUCUAAAAAUGGAUGUGAGCACCAAUCAAUAUUUCUCUGGUUGUUAAAGUCAAGAAUAAAAUGGUAUUUUUAAGCUUGCAACUGUGUAGGAUGAAUUCUGUACACUUUUAUUUCCCUCUGUUCUCCUUUCCUAUUUGAAAGUUUAUUAGUUUGUGGACUUGGGAUCAGAUUAUUCAUGCAUUAUUUUUUGAUAUUGUAUGUCUCUUGGUUCUAGGGUAUUUUUGACACAUAUUCUGUCUUGUAACCAUAGUUAAACAAUUAUUUUAGACCAACUCUCUGUGUGUAAUUGGCUUCAACACUCACUGCUAGUCCUUUGACACUGUUUUUUCCAUUCUUGAGUAAUUUUAAGUCAUCACUUGGGCAGUUGAAAUAUAUUUUAAAGUGAUUUAAAGAAUAUGUGAGUGGCAGACAUUCUGAGCUCUUUUGAUUGUCUGUCUUCAAAAACUAAAACUUAUUUGUGAGUAAAAUU
rnacentral:lncRNA from 1 species